UGGGGAAUAUUGCACAAUGGAGGGAACUCUGAUGCAGCGACGCCGCGUGAACGAAGAAGGCUUUCGAGUCGUAAAGUUCUUUUAUAUGGGAAGAUAAUGACGGUACCAUAAGAAAAAGCCCCGGCUAAUUACGUGCCAGCAGCCGCGGUAAUACGUAAGGUCCGAGCGUUGUCCGGAAUCAUUGGGCGUAAAGGGUACGUAGGCGGGUAAGCAAGUUAGAAGUGAAAUCCUGUAGCUCAACUACAGUAAGCUUUUAAAACUGCUCAUCUUGAGAUAUGGAAGGGAAAGUGGAAUUCCUAGUGUAGCGGUGAAAUGCGCAGAUAUUAGGAGGAAUACCGGUGGCGAAGGCGACUUUCUGGCCAUAAUCUGACGCUGGGGUACGAAAGCGUGGGUAGCAAACAGG
rnacentral:rRNA from 1 species